rnacentral:ncRNA from 1 species
CCUCUGGUGUACCGGUUGUGACGCCAGUCGCAUCGCCGGGUAGCUAUGUUCGGAAGGGAUAACCGCUGAAAGCAUCUAAGCGGGAAGCCUACCUCAAGAUAAGAUUUCCCUAGGACUUUAUGUCCUCUAAAGAGCCGUUGAAGACUACGACGUUGAUAGGUUGGAUGUGGAAGUGCGGUGACGCAUGAAGCUGACCAAUACUAAUUGCUCGUGAGGCUUGACUAU